AGAAAAGGUGUCUGGGCUGGGUAUGGCGGCUUAUGCCUGCAGCCCCAGCGCUUGGAGGGGCCAAAGUGGGAGGGACCAUUGAGCCCAGGAGUUCGAGACCAGCCUGGGCAACAGAGUGAGACUUCAUCUCUACAAAAAAAAAAGACGUGGCCCAGUGGAACAUCGGGAGCCUCCGGACCAUCCUGGACAUGGUGGAGCGCGAGUGCGGCACCAUCAUCGAGGGCGUGAACACGCCCUACCUGUACUUCGGCAUGUGGAAGACCACCUUCGCCUGGCACACCGAGGACAUGGACCUGUACAGCAUCAACUACCUGCACUUUGGGGAGCCUAAGUCCUGGUACGCCAUCCCACCAGAGCACGGCAAGCGCCUGGAGCGGCUGGCCAUCGGCUUCUUCCCCGGGAGCUCGCAGGGCUGCGACGCCUUCCUGCGGCAUAAGAUGACCCUCAUCUCACCCAUCAUCCUGAAGAAGUACGGGAUCCCCUUCAGCCGGAUCACGCAGGAGGCCGGGGAAUUCAUGAUCACAUUUCCCUACGGCUACCACGCCGGCUUCAAUCACGGGUU
rnacentral:sRNA from 1 species